GACGAACGCUGGCGGCGUGCUUAACACAUGCAAGUCGAACGGAAAGGCCCUGCUUUUGUGGGGUGCUCGAGUGGCGAAAGGGUGAGUAACACGUGAGUAACCUGCCCUUGACUUUGGGAUAACUUCAGGAAACUGGGGGUAAUACCGGAUAGGAGCUCCUGCUGCAUGGUGGGGGUUGGAAAGUUUCGGCGGUUGGGGAUGGACUCGCGGCUUAUCAGCUUGUUGGUGGGGUAGUGGCUUACCAAGGCUUUGACGGGUAGCCGGCCUGAGAGGGUGACCGGCCACAUUGGGACUGAGAUACGGCCCAGACUCCUACGGGAGGCAGCAGUGGGGAAUAUUGCACAAUGGGCGGAAGCCUGAUGCAGCAACGCCGCGUGCGGGAUGACGGCCUUCGGGUUGUAAACCGCUUUCGCCUGCGACGAAGCGUGAGUGACGGUAAUGGGUAAAGAAGCACCGGCUAACUACGUG
rnacentral:rRNA from 1 species